rnacentral:ncRNA from 1 species
UAGCACAGGGGGAGCCGAUAUGUGGCUGAGACGGGCUUUGCCUGGACCCUCAUACCUGAUCAGGGUAAUGCCUGCGUAGGAAUGUCACG